rnacentral:rRNA from 1 species
UUUCCUACGGGGGGCAGCAGUGAGGAGUAUUGGUCAAUGGGCGAGAGCCUGAACCAGCCAAGUCGCGUGAGGGAGUACUGCCCUAUGGGUUGUAAACCCCUUUUGUCGGGGAGCAAAAGCCGGACGUGUCCGGCUGUGAGAGUACCCGAAGAAAAAGCAUCGGCUAACUCCGUGCCAGCAGCCGCGGUAAUACGGAGGAUGCGAGCGUUAUCCGGAUUCAUUGGGUUUAAAGGGUGCGCAGGCGGGCCUUUAAGCCGGCGGUGAAAUCGCGGGG